rnacentral:lncRNA from 1 species
CCCGGCUCUAUCCUGACCCCCAGUCCUGCUCUAUCCUGAGCCUUCACCCGGUCCUGCUCUGUCCCGGUCCUGCUGCCAUCCCCUGGCCCUGCUGUCAUUCCCCUGCUCUGUCCUGGACCAGGCGCUGUGCCAGUCACAGUUCCAUUCCCUCCUUUCCCUGAAUUUUGCAGUUAGGUGAGAGAUGAGCAAAGAACAUCACGGUCCCAGAGCUACUGGCUUUAGCUCACUACUCUCUGGAGAACAAUCAUUGCAUGUGUAGAGAAGGUUUCAUUCAGUAAGAGACCCUACAGCUGACAACCUGCACAGUGGCCCCAAAGUGAACUAAAGCUAAAGUGCACUAAAGCUCUUAUUCCCAUCAGUUUAUAUGCUGUGAGAUAUUUCACACCAUAAACUCCACAGACUGAAGCAACAGGCCUUCAUGUGUUUAGAAUUAGCCCCAUUUCUCUAAUCACACGAGGUCACAGUUUUCUCUCAGGACAGUUUAGAACCUCACAGUGAGGUGUUAGUGCCCAGAAGGAGUGAAUUGAAUAGCUGCAGACUUGUUGAUGCCUCAUUUAUGAUUAACAGUGUCAGUACCUUAGUCAGCUGCCUGCCAACCGUGUUCCAGCUGCUGUUUUAUCUCAGACCUGAAAGAGGGCACAGAAGAAGCCAGGUGUGCUGCUCGUGCAUGGAACACGUUCCCAAAUCAAGGGCUGGCAGGUGCACAGGGGAUUACUGAGGAAACAGGCUGGCUGUGGCUGGAAAUCACAGUGAUGCUGGGCCAGGAAAAGGACUUCUGGUGACCACUUCAGCUCUUGCAUGACCAGCUUGAAACAGAAUCGCUGUAGGAAGCUGUGGGAGCACCUCACAGCAAGAGGAAGUCAAAGGGAGAUUGCUGACAGAGAAAAGCACUCCAUCUGCACUCUAGAGCAGCUUCCACCAAUGACUUCAAAAACUUCCAGGACCUCCAGAUGCCCUACAGAAGGAUGUGCUUCUCUGGGAAUGGAGCCCCACUCAGAGGAAAAUCCCUGCGACUGGGUCGUAACAAGAGGUCUAAAAACCCUCCUGGAAACAGCUGACAGCUCCUGGC